AGCUUUGCACAUUGGCAGUAUCAUAGCCAAUGAGGUUUAUCCAAGGUGUGAUUAUUGCUAAUUGAAAAUAUUAAACAUAUCUGCCAUUGUCAAAAUAUGUUCUUGUUCGUUUGUGAU